rnacentral:ncRNA from 1 species
AUAACGGCUUUGACAAGGAAAGUAAGUUUAACUGAAGUACUACAGAGAGUUUCUGGUUGGUGCGAAGAAACAACGAAGGUUUAGCUGAAAAUCACCUUUGAGCAGAAAUUACGAAUUGAGUAGUUUCAGGGCACGCCCUUUACAGCGUCGACGUAUCGCUCUUUUUGAGCCGCACGUGCAACGAGGCUGGGUUUAUGCCCAGCGAACAUAGGUGGUACAGCGCCCAAAGCGCCCUAUUA